GACGAACGCUGGCGGCGUGCCUAAUACAUGCAAGUCGAGCGAAUGAAUGGGAGCUUGCUCCUGUUCGUUAGCGGCGGACGGGUGAGUAACACGUGGGCAACCUGCCUGUAAGACUGGGAUAACUUCGGGAAACCGGAGCUAAUACCGGAUAGUUUCUUUCUUCACAUGAAGAAGGAUGGAAAGACGGUUUUGCUGUCACUUACAGAUGGGCCCGCGGCGCAUUAGCUAGUUGGUGAGGUAACGGUUCACCAAGGCGAUGAUGCGUAGCCGACCUGAGAGGGUGAUCGGCCAAACUGGGACUGGGAAACGGCCCAGACUCCUACGGGAGGCAGCAGUAGGGAAUCUUCCGCAAUGGACGAAAGUCUGACGGAGCAACGCCGCGUGAGUGAAGAAGGUUUUCGGAUCGUAAAACUCUGUUGUCAGGGAAGAACAAGUACCAGAGUAACUGCUGGUACCUUGACGGUACCUGACCAGAAAGCCACGGCUAACUACGUGCCAGCAGCCGCGGUAAUAC
rnacentral:rRNA from 1 species